rnacentral:rRNA from 1 species
CGGCACGGGUGAGUAACACGUAUCCAACCUGCCGUCUACUCUUGGCCAGCCUUCUGAAAGGAAGAUUAAUACAAGAUGGCAUCAUGAGUCCGCAUGUUCACAUGAUUAAAGGUAUUCCGGUAGACGAUGGGGAUGCGUUCCAUUAGAUAGUAGGCGGGGUAACGGCCCACCUAGUCUUCGAUGGAUAGGGGUUCUGAGAGGAAGGUCCCCCACAUUGGAACUGAGACACGGUCCAA